GAAGAGCCCACCUAUGUUCAAACACCCAAAAGAGGGUGGAAUCGAACCACCAUAUUCUGGUUUCAAGCCAACCGUAUAACCACGAUACUUCUCUCUUAAUAAGACCCUAGUAAAUUAUUAUAUAGCCCUGUCAGAGCUAAGUUACAGGCUAACCCCCUGUGAGUCUUA
rnacentral:tRNA from 1 species